rfam:Mycobacterium sp. 852013-51886_SCH5428379 contig_2, whole genome shotgun sequence.
UCGGUUCCGGUUCACGUCCGCUUCAGUCCAGGUCUGGACGGGCGACCCGGCGGCC